AUGAAUAGCUUUAGUUGUAACUUAUAGCGGAGACAGACAGGCUGAGUUAAGUUGAAUUAAGUGGCACAAAUGCAGAUACGAUUUUUACCCCUGACAGACAGCACCAUUGUGCAUAACAAAUUUUCUUCUUCUACCUGCGCAUUUAGUUAUCAGCUGAUUUGACAAAAACUUUGAGCUCAAAAUGGAAAGGAGAGAAAAAAUACGAUUAGCAGCUAUUUUGUUUGCAAAAAACAAUUACUUAUUUAAAAAAAAACUUAACAUUCUUCUCUUAAAAUUAUUCAACAAUAUGAAAAUAAUUAAUUCAUUGGCAAGCAUAGACCUUACCACGAUGUUUGAAGCUGGGAUUGUUACACUUCCUGAUAUAAGAGAAAGGCAGCUGUGGAAAUUGGAUCGCAGCGGCACAUUUUGGGAGCGUGAUGUUCCUUUAAUGGACGAAAAUCGUUUCAAAGAAAAUUUUCGACUCAAUAGAAAUACUUUUCGGAGAAUUUGUGAAAAAGUUCGAGGCAUCGAAAAGGCGAACGCUCAUAUGAGGCCAUGUAUUCCACUUCAUAAAAGAGUGGCUAUCUCACUAUUCGCAUUGGGAUCUGCAGCGGAGUACAGGACUGUUGCAAGUCUUUUCGGAGUAGGACGCAGUACUGUUGGCGAAAUUGUUUUGGAUUUUUGCCAAGCAGUAUGCGAAAAUCUAUGAUUGCAUUAAGUCAUAUCCUCCAAACCAACACGAAAUCAGAAAAGUUGUUGAUGGCUUCGCGCAAACUGGGUUUCCUCAAUGCUUUGGAGCUGUGGAUGGCUGCCACAUAGAAGUUCAACCACCAAAAGAUGAUGCAACAGACUAUUACAACUACAAGGGGUGGUAUUCAGUGAUCUUGCUAGCGAGCUGUGACCACCGAUCAAAAUUUACUUACAUAAAUAUUGGAUCUACUGGUAGAAACAACGACUCUUACAUUUUCGGAAAGAGUACAUUGAAAAGAUUCCAUGAAACUGCCGAUAUUUUUACGCAGAAUAGCAAAUUCAUAGGCGGCAUCAAUGUACCCGUUCUACUAAUAGGCGAUUCUGCUUUUCGCCUCUCCCGGUAUAUGAUGAAACCGUUUCCAUAUUCGCCGAAUCAGCCGUCUAUAGAAAAAAACCUUUAACUACCAACUAUCUAGGUGUCGUCGUCUAAUCGAAAAUGCAUUCGGUUAACUUAAAGCACGGUUCAGAAAAAUAGGUAGAGGUUUACAAGUCGCCCCAAAAAACAUAAAUACCAUAAUUAGAACGUGCUGCAUUUUGCACAACUUCUUGAAAUUAGAAAACGAAUAAGGUUCUAUUGGUUGAAUGCAAGAUUCAAGAGAAGAUAUUAAUGCUAGAAAUCAGCCAAGGCACACUACAAGAGUCGGCGAGAAUGAUGUGAAUGCGUCCGCUAUUAGAAAUGCAAUAGCUCGCAGUUUCCAAGAAGCAGGUGCAGAUGAAUCACCAGGCGACACAGCUGAUGCUGAAAGCAGUGGU
rnacentral:lncRNA from 1 species